GUACAGUAAAAUUACAGAAUCCCUCCUCUGUCCGUUUCCGUUCCAGGUAAAAAGUUCCAUUUCUGUUUGAUGUUCACAAAAAAAAAAAAGAAAAAUAUCGUUCAGGGCC